CCGUCUUCUUGUUUUCGAAACCCCACUUCAUUAGAGAUUGAGUUUGAAACCUUCAUUUACAUCUAGUAUUUUAGUACUUGUUCUACUUGUUCUUGCUGGUUCUUCGAUUGCUUGCAGGACGAGUGCCCUAGUGGCCGGGUGUUGCGCUCCACAAGAUCGUGACAACCAUUGGAGGCGGUGUAUCGGUUGCUAAGGCGCGGCCUUAGAAGGCUGUAGUCGGGCCG
rnacentral:lncRNA from 1 species